rnacentral:lncRNA from 1 species
CACAGACCAAUGCGUUUAUAAUCCAUUUAAAAUAAUAUACUUGCCACUAGGUGGCUAUUUCUGAUCAGAUCAUUUUACCAUUUUAAUUACAUUUUUAAUAUCCUGGCUGCAUAAACAAAGAUAAAUUACAAACCCUGCACAAUCUGGCUGCUAGCUCAGGCAUAGUCAGUAAUAAUAUCAGCUUUUGUUUGGGCCUCCUCUAAUUAGAUUCUGAAAUCUAGGCUUUGUCAAUCAAUAAUUUUAAUUUUAGAAUCGCUUUUUGAUCUUGCAUUUCAUGUUUGUUUGGGAAAAUGAUCAGUAGGACAAAGCUGAUAAUUUAUGCAGAAACAAUCUCUCAGCAGAGCUACAUGCACAUUCCUCCCCAUCAACAGAAGCCUGCAGACUAAGCUUGACACAGGUCUAAUUAGCAUGCAGAUAUGUCGCCUCAUUGGCAAUUCAAAUUGCUUUUAUAUAAUGUACCUCAAAUUGUGCUACUCAAACAUUGUAUUUGAUUUCCAAAGCCCCCUGGGCAUCCCAUAAUGUCUCCCUUCAUCCUGGGUAUGAAGCAUUUAUUGAACAAUCUGCUGAGACUGGCUGUCUUUUCGAAAACACCCAAACAUCGUAUUCCUGGGACCAGCUUUUCUUCUUGUCAGAGAGCAACUUGUUCUUCUGCGGAAUUCCUUGUGCCACAUUUGUAGGUUUAGAGAUGACAUGCUACCUCAUGAGUUGCUUCUCCCACGUGGUUGAUCUAUAGAGGGCUUCACUCCUGUGCCACUCAUUUUUAAAGUGGGGGAGAAUGUCUGGUAAGCACACAUUAAUAUGCAGCACAUAACCACAUCUCUGAAUGCCAGUCCUCCAUUCUUCAUUAAACAAAAAUGGCUAGAUUGCAGGGAUUGUUUUUCCUUCCUCCCACAUACAUAUGCACACACACUCACAUUUGCUUUCUUGGGCACACCUACAUGCACGCAACCACAUUCACGCGCAUCUACACACCUAUGCAAGACACCCACAGCAUAUCAUUGUCAGGAUGGAGUUACGUGUGAAAGUUGUCUGCUGCACACAUGACAAAUAAGGGGAUUCCAGCAUACACUGGGGCUUUUUAAAAAUUCAUUUUUUUAACCAUGCAGCAACAAGUGGCAGAAUCAAUGGUGUACAGUUAUUCAGCAAUGUAAUUCAUUUCACUGGCUUUGGCUCCUAGCCAGAUCCGCCAUCUGUCUCUAGCUCUCCCUCUCCCCCUCUCUCUCCCUCUCCCUCUCUUUCGCUUGAAUUUGUCCUACAUUUCGUAAUGUUACGUGCCUGCCAUCCUUAUCCUAUGCCAGAGGUACAACACCAGUCUCACCCCCAUUCCGGCGUGGAGUUCUCUGAGUUCGGUGGCACUUGGGAUAUUCCACUUCAGUGCCAUGGGAAGAAAAUGACGCUGGCUGGCACUCCACGCCAGUGCACGGCUCCAUGGAAUGCCUGCUGUUGGACACUUGCAGAGCUCUGCCACCAAGCAACCUCCUGCAUUGGAAAUCGGGGGACUACUCCAGGAUCUUAUGCGUGCUUGCUGUUUGAAGCUGCAGAAAAGUGAAUAAUCAAUUAAGUAUUGAUUUCUUGUAAGAUUUGGUAAAUUUCAAAGGCAAGACAAAGAGGAUGGCUUAAGGAAACACUGCAGGGACUUGGCGUAAAUUAGACAACUAACGGAAGCGCAGAAUAAAAUAACACCUCAACUGAAGAUUUCCUUGGAAGAAUUAGCACUAGCUAUUGGAAGACAAUGGUGGAUUUAAUCAAAACAGCAGGCAUGCAAGAAUUUUACCCGUGAACCAGAAAAAGGAGCUAAUUAUAACCACCUUUUUAAUGGAGCUAAUUUGACUGAAUGGAUGCAAAUGUGCUUUAUUUAUGGAUGAAGAAGCAAGCCUUACUGCAUGAUCUUGGGAUCAUCGGAUCUGCUAAGCUUUGCAGCUCCUGUUACCUUCAGUACAUUUUUUAUUUCCGGAGAAGGUAUUUGUAUGUAAACAACAACUAACCAUGCAAAAGAUUCAUCGGAACAAUAUACUGUGGUAUAUGAGAUAUAAUCAUAAUUUUGCAGCCUCUCAGGAUUUCCUCUAACUUGGAGGUUUUGCAACCUUUGUGUGCAAUGGGUUAUGGUAAACAAUAAAUGAAUGAUGCUAAAGUGUUGUGAUUUUUCAAUGUGUAGUUUGUUAAUUUUAGCUUUCUUAACAUAUUGAUUCUGAAGUAUUUGCAAUAAAUCCAUAUGAAAGAAAGGGAAUUGUUGGGUGGGGUUUUUUUUUUAAUGCAUUUUCAGUCUUCUUAGAGAUCGGAAUGUGUAGGUCCCACCAGCCCAUGAGCUCUAUAAUUAUAAAAGAAUGGUAAAAAAUUUGACAAUUUGAAGUACUGGUUUUAUAAUGGGAACAAUGUGUUAUAAUCAGCAAAAGGAGACUUGUUAUGUUUUCUCUCUGUGUAGAAUGUUCUUGAGUGGUUAACUCCUCUGUUGCUGAUGAGAAGUAAAUACCAGGACUGGCAAUAAGCAGAGAUUGUAAGGACAAUGCUUUGUUCCUAUGCAUCCUCCUAUUUCAAGCUAAAGUGCAUUUUAAGCAUUUCCUUCUAUUUCUAUUAUUUUCCUUUCUAUUUUUGUUCUUUUCAUCAUUUUUUUCUGUCUUGCAAUCUACGUUCCCUGAGCAACCAUAGGAACCAAGUUACAUUAAGCUUCAACACAAAGACCUUGUAAGAAUAAUGAAUCCUCAUUUGCAUCGACAUUUGUAUUCAGAUUUGCCAGGCUAUAAACUUGGCAGAUCAAGCGGAAUAUUAAGUAGAGGCUUCCAUGGUAAAUUGUGGCUCUUGAAAUUGCUAACUACCCCCUCCCCUUUUUUUUCUCUCUAUCUGUGGUGGCAGGUGAAGUCUCAUGACUACUUGCUUCUUAAGAAGCGUAUUGGCUCCUUCAUCUUUCAUUAUAUGAUGCCAGUUUCAAGCAGAAGAGGGGCAAAGCCGGUAGUAGGUGUGCUAGUUGAAGGUACAAAAUGACAUGUGACUGUAGCAUUAAUUCUAGAGUCCAUAUAUCACAAGAGGUGUCUUUAAGUAGUUGAAGCUGUAAGAAAAUUAAUUCUCAUGUGUGGGCUAAGGUUUGAUCUUUCUGGUAUGUUCAAAACGCAUUAACCUCAUGAAAGUUCACACUCAUUUUUUAAAGCUUCUAAAGGUUGGAGGAGGACCAAGGUAGCUCUUUACUCACAAAAUAAUUCAGUUACACCAUUCUGAGUCAUCGUCACUGAUCUACUCAUGCCCAUUCUUGAAAUAUUUUAAAUGCCUCAUUCUAUUAAGCCUCCAUGGAUUGACUGACUUAAUCCUUAGUUUUGCUUGAUUCUGAAAUGGUAAAAUAGGAACAGUUAUACUUACUGCUAGCAAACUUAUAAAUUCAGCAGUAUGACCUAUAAGGUCAUUUCUACAACACAGCCAACAAUGGGGUGAAAAAUGUAGACUUUAAUUUCCAUGCUUGGUCCACCCUAUGUGAUGCCAAACAAGUGAGUAAUUGGAAACAUUUGUGCAUAACUUAAUUUUUCAUGCAUUACCCCAGUGUUUCAGAUUUCUGUAAACAGAGCCUAAAUCUAUGACCUAUUAACAAACUCUCACUUCUUGCCAUCCCUUUUUCUCUCUAGAACUUUUCACUAGUGGGGAGCAACAAAACAUAUUAGAACUAACAAACUUACAAUGGACAUUUAAUAGUGGUUUUCCUUUCUAUUCUAUUUUUUAAAAUGUAAAUGGAGUAAAUGAUAAAAUGUAGACUGAAUUUAUCAUAAAGACAUUUUCUUUUGGUAUACUGCAAGGAACUAUGAACUUUUAGUAACUACUAUAAGCAACUGACAGUUCCAUCAAAGGAGGGAUCUUCCUACUGACCAGAAGACCUGAACAGCCUGAGAAUGAUUCCUUUCAACUCCGAGAGAAGAAGCUGCAGAUGAAGAGCAAGUAGGAUGGUGAAGUGCUUAAUCAGUGGCCAGGCAAUCAAUAAACACAACAGUCCUGGGAUACAUGUGCAGAAUGUGCAGAAUGUGUACAUAGGUACACACUACCAUGGUGGUUUGCUGCACCCAUCAACUCGUCAUCUACAUUAGGAUACUGUUUACUGAAAACCCACCAAUCUGAUCUUUUAUGAGAAGCUAGUCCCUGAAAAGGCCCUUGGAUCAAAGGUCAAAAACUUGAAGCACAGAGUGGGAUGUCAGAUGCCAAGAUUUAAAUCUAGUCAUUUGAUUCCAGAGCCCACAUUCUUAAAUAAUAUGCUACACUGACCUUUAUUGUCUUUAAACAUUAUCUUUAUUUAAUGUGUUUCAUAGAAAUUACUUCUCAGGUAUUCCUAAAUUUAUUUUUAAAAAUAAUGUCAUGCUAUCACUAUAAUAUAGUUUUUUAAAUUAACUUGAGAGGUAAUGUAGUAUGAUCAACUUCCUUAAUGGCCUUUUAAACUGGAAAUAACUAUUAAAUAUUUUAAUAUUAUAAAUUAACAGGCAAAAUGGUGAAAAAUCUAACAUCUGGUUCUUAAAAGUAAGUUGAAAUAUAAGAUCAGAUUUGAAUGCACAUGGAAAAAUAGAACUGGCAAAUAAUGCCAUAUUUGAAGAUCUUUUAGUAUUCUCUGGUAUUUUUCCUUUCAUUUCAAAAUUGUUAUAUUCUUUUUAAUGACUUCAAAUGAAUUAGGAAAUGUCAGGCUUCUAAAAAUCAAACAGAACGUCCAACCAGUAGAUUUCAUUCAGGGCAGUGGGAGCCUGUUCGGUUGUUUCCUCUUUCCCCCUCACUUUUAAAAAUCCUCAAUCACUGCCAUUUCUCUUCUCAGCUUUCACAACACUUUACAGGCAGCUGAAUGAAAGGGCAGAAGCUUCCUCUGAAACUCCUGUUAUUUCAGCUCUAAAAUCAGCUGAAAAGGAUGCCCUCCCCAGAGACAGAAAUGCAUUCCCUCCAUCAUGAACCUGCAAUGCCCUCAGGUUGUGGCAAGGGAGAAGUUUAGCACUUGAACCUAGAUAACGCUAUUUUUUUAAUCAAAGUGCACCAUUCUUGUUUCAUAUGGCCUGUGGCACAAUUUAUUUAAAACAAUAUGGUGCAUCAAAGAAGGUAAACAAUAAUAACAAUAAUAAUAAUAUAGGAAUAGCAAUGUGCACAUAAAUAAUAUAGGAAAACACAUGGCCUCAGUACCUUCAUGAAAUGGGACUUCAAUAUACAUAUUUCUUAUACAGCUUUAUGCAUGACUUCAUUGCACUUCACUGCUCUGUUGUGUCACUCUACCAAUAAACCUAUACAUCAUACUGAGUGAAGUAUGUUCACAGUCCCUUUACUUGACAAAAAAAAAAAAAAAAAAAAAAAAAAGGAGCAGUGUGGUUUAGGAGAAUGACCACUGAGCUAGAAGUAUGAAGACUAGAUAGAACUUGAGUCCCAUCCCCAGCACUUUCGGGCUCCCAGAUGUUGGGUGAGUUGUGCAUCCUCUUUAAAAAUCAGUUUGCAGACCAAUGGUACAUCUCUGUCCACCUGCUAGAGUUCUUGUGGUAACUAAAUAAGGUAAUGUAUAAGAAAGCAUUCUGAGAAAAUGCUACAUGUAAAAGGGGAUUUUUUUUUUCUCAUUGUGAUUUUUUUACUAUGUUUUUACUUUACAAAUUUACAAAUGUUUACUUUUCUUGAAUUUGCUUACCAGUAAAUUAGUUCACUGCUGGCACUUCUUUGUAGUCUAUUGCUAUGGGAAGUAAUAUGUUUAUCUGAAAAUUAUGAAGAUUCCUAGAGUUUCUUUACACUUGUUAUAUUUUAGGGGCAAUAAAAAAAGUAUAUGCUUAAACUUGAAUUAUGUCUUAUUUUUCUUUAGUGCAUUAUAAUUUCACAUCUAAAUACUGGUAUGUUUGUACCAAAUUAGCAAAGCAAAAAUGCAAAAUGUUAUUAAUUGACAUUGGUCGUUUUUUUAUUUAUACCACAUCCCCAUAUCCUAUUUAUUUGACUAUAGAUGUCCAUCUAAUUUAGAAAAUCAUUAUCUAACCUGUUUCAUUUUACCAAAUUGUCUUUUUUAAUAAUUUAGGUUUUGAGUAUUUUCUCCUAAGCUUUUGAAUCCAUGCUUACACAAUUGCAUUGAUAUUAUUUGAG